UGGGAAGUCUGCUAUGGAAAUCUGCUUACC
rnacentral:piRNA from 1 species